rnacentral:rRNA from 1 species
GAAAGCGUAAUAGCUCACUGGUCGAGUCGGCCUGCGCGGAAGAUGUAACGGGGCUAAACCAUGCACCGAAGCUGCGGCAGCGACAUGAAAGUGUUGUUGGGUAGGGGAGCGUUCUGUAAGCCGCAGAAGGUGGCCUGUGAGGGCUGCUGGAGGUAUCAGAAGUGCGAAUGCUGACAUAAGUAACGAUAAAGCGGGUGAAAAACCCGCUCGCCGGAAGACCAAGGGUUCCUGUCCAACGUUAAUCGGGGCAGGGUGAGUCGACCCCUAAGGCGAGGCCGACAGGCGUAGUCGAUGGGCAACAGGUUAAUAUUCCUGUACUCGGUGUGACUGCGAAGGGGGGACGGAGAAGGCUAGGCCAGCCGGGCGACGGUCGUCCCGGUUGAAGCGUGUAGGUGGGUGGUUUUGGAAAAUCCGGACCGCUGUUAACACUGAGGCGUGAUAACGAGGCACUACGGUGCCGAAGUGGUUGAUGCCCUGCUUCCAGGAAAAGCCUCUAAGCAUCAGGUCACAUUGGAUCGUACCCCAAACCGACACAGGUGGUCAGGUAGAGAAUACUCAGGCGCUUGAGAGAACUCGGGUGAAGGAACUAGGCAAAAUGGUGCCGUAACUUCGGGAGAAGGCACGCUGGCGCCAGGUGAAGGAACGAGCUUCCGGAGCCGAGGCCAGUCGCAGAUACCAGCUGGCUGCAACUGUUUAAUAAAAACACAGCACUGUGCAAACACGUAAGUGGACGUAUACGGUGUGACGCCUGCCCGGUGCUGGAAGGUUAAUUGAUGGGGUUAUCGCGUUGCGAGAAGCUCUUGAUCGAAGCCCCAGUAAACGGCGGCCGUAACUAUAACGGUCCUAAGGUAGCGAAAUUCCUUGUCGGGUAAGUUCCGACCUGCACGAAUGGCGUAAUGAUGGCCAGGCUGUCUCCACCCGAGACUCAGUGAAAUUGAACUCGCUGUGAAGAUGCAGUGUACCCGCGGCAAGACGGAAAGACCCCGUGAACCUUUACUAUAGCUUGACACUGAACCUUGAGCCUUGAUGUGUAGGAUAGGUGGGAGGCCUGGAAGUGCGGACGCCAGUCUGCAUGGAGCCAACCUUGAAAUACCACCCUUGAAUGUUUGAUGUUCUAACGCAGGCCCGUGAUCCGGGUUGCGGACAGUGUCUGGUGGGUAGUUUGACUGGGGCGGUCUCCUCCCAAAGCGUAACGGAGGAGCACGAAGGUUAGCUAAUCACGGUCGGACAUCGUGAGGUUAGUGCAAUGGCAUAAGCUGGCUUGACUGCGAGAGUGACAGCUCGAGCAGGUGCGAAAGCAGGUCAUAGUGAUCCGGUGGUUCUGCAUGGAAGGGCCAUCGCUCAACGGAUAAAAGGUACUCCGGGGAUAACAGGCUGAUACCGCCCAAGAGUUCAUAUCGACGGCGGUGUUUGGC